GAUGAACGCUAGCUACAGGCUUAACACAUGCAAGUCGAGGGGCAGCAUGAAAGUAGCUUGCUACUUUUGAUGGCGACCGGCGCACGGGUGCGUAACGCGUAUCCAAUCUACCCAUGGCUCAGGGAUAGCCUUUCGAAAGAAAGAUUAAUACCUGAUGGUUUAACUUUGAGGCAUCUCAUGGUUAAUAAAGAUUUAUCGGCGAUGGAUGAGGAUGCGACUGAUUAGGUUGUUGGCGGGGUAACGGCCCACCAAGCCGACGAUCAGUAGGGGUUCUGAGAGGAAGGUCCCCCACAUUGGAACUGAGACACGGUCCAAACUCC
rnacentral:rRNA from 1 species